CUGAAGACAUCAGGACCGCAGAGAGCCUUCACAUCUUCCGCCGCAAACUAAAGACACACCUCUUCAGACAAAUUAGCACUUAAAUUGUACUUGUAACGUCACUCAUUUACAUCAUUGCAUAUGUAAUAAUAUAGGUGAUAUAUAAUAAUUAUAACCACAAGAGCCAUUUUCCUCUAUUGAGUAUGGUACUUUUUACUUUUAAUAGUUCAAGUAUUUCUUUUUGUGGUCAUAUGUUUUUACUUAAUUGAAAUUUUCACUGCAGGACGUGUACUUGUAUUGUAACAGUAGUUUCACAAAGUGGUUUUUGCUUUUUUUUUUUUCCAAACUAUCGGCGCAAAUCCGUUCUCUCUCCACUUGAUGGUCCGUGCCUGCAACGAACAACGUGGAGCUGAACUUAUUGGAGGAGCUGGACCAUAUGAGCUGCACCUAAUCUCUGCACCGGCACUUUGCACCGUUUAUCAGCAUUCUUGUGCUUGACACGCUCAUUUGGAUACAGCAAGAGACGAGGCCCUAGAAUGCAUCACUGUUGGUGUGUUGACAGUUGUCAGUGAAGAUGGUCCUCACGAGGGUGCAAGUUCAGUGGACCUCCUGCCCAUCUCAACUGCCAUCAUUCUGGAGGGAGGUAUCGUCAUGGAUCACAUUAAAAACUUGCCUCAGGCAGUUUGUCUGUUAUUUGGGCUUACAUAUGCUUUGCAUUUGGAUUACCCAAAAUGCUUUGCAAAGACACUCAACUUCAUUCAGACUGUGAUGCUUGGACUGGGAAAGAAAAACCUCCCACCAAAACUUAACUCUGAAGAACAGUCUCCUGGAUUAGACUAGUAAAGAACUAAAUCAGCUGUCAGCAAUUUAAAAGUUAUAAUAAUGUUCUCCUGUUAUUAGUUAAAGUUUGAUGCUUUCAUGCAACUUGUUUAUCUUAAUUUAAAAAAAAAAUCCAUUCAAGUCUGUACCAUGUUAUGCUGGUAUGCUAAUGGAGGAAAUAGUGCCACUGAAGUCCUGUAGUUAUCAGGUGUUUACCUGUUUAAUAUUGUGAGACUGUUACGAAUUAGUUCACAAAAAUGUGGAUUUAUUUUCUACUCGUCCAUGUCAUGGUACACAGUCUAAUCAAACCACAAGUUAUAAGUUAUUUGUCUGCUGUUUAGAUUCUUGGGAACAGAACACCGCUGAAUAAUAGUAAUUUUAUUGAUUAUUGUAAGGUUAUUACAUGAGUCAAUUUUAUGUUGGAGAAUUGGAAUCAGAAGUAAUAACAAUGUCAAAUGUUUUUUGUUCAGCCUAGAUCUGUAAAUGAUGCAAUUUUUUUUUUUUAAUAAAUGUAAUGCAUCUGAAUCAA